UGCAAGUCGAGCGAAUGGAUUAAGAGCUUGCUCUUAUGAAGUUAGCGGCGGACGGGUGAGUAACACGUGGGUAACCUGCCCAUAAGACUGGGAUAACUCCGGGAAACCGGGGCUAAUACCGGAUAACAUUUUGAACCGCAUGGUUCGAAAUUGAAAGGUGGCUUCGGCUGUCACUUAUGGAUGGACCCGCGUCGCAUUAGCUAGUUGGUGAGGUAACGGCUCACCAAGGCAACGAUGCGUAGCCGACCUGAGAGGGUGAUCGGCCACACUGG
rnacentral:rRNA from 1 species